rnacentral:lncRNA from 1 species
GCUCUGUUGCUAGAUCAAGAAUGCAGUUCAAAUAUAAAUGUAAGAGGUUCACAUGCCACGCAUAAUGAUCUACUACAGCUGAUCAACUUGCUCAAACUUGUCUUGUGCCGCAUCAAAACAUUAACACGGCAUGAAAUUAACUGCAUGAAAAGGAAAUGUGCAGUAUACCUGCUAUUGCUGCUAUGUUUAUCUUGUUUAUCUUCUUUCCUGCGUAAGCAGACAAAAAAAGUCAAAAAUAAUGUGUGUGAAAAUUUAACGAGUAUCAAACUUCAAGGUGAUUGUUUUCUAUCGAUCCAUUCAAUUUGUUUCUGGAGACCUAACGAACUAAGAAAAGAUUUUGCAACUGCUGCCGAUAUUAUAUAAAGAAGAAACAUAUGGGGAACAUGGGCAAGGUGCUGUUUCCUCCUAGUAAAGCUGUCACGUGCUAAGCUACAAAGCCUGGAAAUUAACUUUGACCAUAAAGAGGAGGUUGCUCUAUUGCUUUUGACUACCGAUGAACAACGACCCGCACUAUGAAAAAAGAAAAUCUUGUACCAACAGCGGACAAAGGCAUCCUUGUUGUCUUCAUUUUUCCUUCUUAGUUCGGUUGACAAGUUAACAUUCUCUUUUUGAAGAUAUGGUGCAUCAUGACAUGAAACAUGAAAAAUAUUAUGACUUUGGAUAAAGCUGUAGCAAAGCGUACACGUUUACGUUUGAAGGCGCAAUUAACAUGUACUGGCAGAUAUUUUUCCGGGGAACAUGACAGAUACCAAUAUGUAGGACAUCGGCGUCAAGGAAGAAAACUAAAGAAACCAUAAAGGCAGGCAGCUGUAGUCUUCCCUAGGAAUGAAAAAAACGAUCUCUCCAUGAUGUCAGAGUGUCUGAAAAAAAUUUCGAAAUCAAAGAAUAAAUUCCACUGAAAAUUUUGAGCCACCAACUCAUAUUACCACCUGAAAUUGCCUUCGAAAGUGUGAAAAGAUGUCGACCCCUCAAAUAGACAUUGACAGGGAUGGACCAUUGCCAUGUGUCCGCAAGCGGGCCUUUGAUCUUAUCACACAUUCACACCUAACCAUCAAUUCGCUGGUUGAUCUAUCAACGCAGGCUGCAGUAGACAGUACUACUCACUCCAUUCCACGAUAGAAGGCGUAUAGAUUGGGAGAGGGCGUGAAUGGAUCAAUCGUUGGGACCUAAAAUGGUUUCUGAAUUCCGAAUCAGUCCAUGGCCGGGCAUGAGGAAAUGGAGUCGAGUCGCUGUGCAGCUGCUCUUCAUUUCUUUCUCCCCGUUGCCGUCCUGAAGCGGACGUGAUCGAUGAAGCCAAGACCCUGCUCUGCUGGACAUCUGUGUUCUUCAAUGGGCGUGUCGAUCUUUGUCCAAGGAAAGAAAGGUACGGGAGAACGGAUCGAUCGUACUGAUGUGGUUGAAGCUACGGUUCGUUUCACACGCUGAUAUUUCUCCUCCUUUUCUUUUCGAAAAAACAUUGGCGCGUAUUUGUUUAGUUGGCCUACCCAGUACCCAUCCGUCAGAUAAUGGUGCUGCAGUGUGCUUGAAGCUAGCAAUGGCUCUAAUUUAUGGCUCUAAGUACGGAGUAAUUGCCAAGCGAAGCGACCCAGAUAGAUGUGUCCGGGUUGUUGUUGCUUUAGAUGGUUUUCGUACGGAACUGACGCGGCAGCAGCGGUUCGAUCAGAACGGCUUACCGGACCGUGUCGCGGCGGAGCCUGAGACCUUGCUGCAGCCGUCGGCGUCCACCAGGGCGCCAUUACCGCCGCAGAAGCAGCCCAAGAACUCGCCGGUGCCGUUGUAUCCGCACCUCCCAUCGAAUCUCUCGCACCGGGCGCAGGGUCCGGAGCCGAUCCUUUCCCAGCUCACCUGGAACCCCCCGCGGAGCGCCUUGGCGUACCCGCCUUCCCUCCACCCGGGGUCCUGCGCUGCGCCUUCCGGGACGGCGUCACUGAGCACGGGCGCCCUGUACACCGACUGGCACGCCUGCCACCAUCCUUUGGGCUUCGGCGGAACCUCGCGCUCCGGCAGCACGAAGGACAUGGUAGGCUCUGCUUCGCCAGAGCUCCCGGCGCAGGUGAUCGGCUUGAUACUCGGCGGCUUGCGCGCCGGCUUGGGCUCCGGAAGGAACUCGGCGUCCGGCGCGAAUGCGCAGCCGGUGAAGAAGAAGAGGUAGGCGAUGGUGGAAGUGGGCAGAUGGAAGGCCUUGGGGAUGGUGACGUUGUGGCCGGCUUUAGGGCAGGCUUCGCCACCGUCGAGGAUGUCGGCGUCGGCGAGGGAGACGGUGAGGCUGGCGUAGUCGAUGGAGGAGACCGUGUAGUCGUCGCGGUCGAGGCGGAGCGUGGGCUUGCCGUCGUCGUCGCAGAGGAUGGCCAGGCCCGGGUAGCCGCAGUAGGAGUGCUCCGGAGGGGGCGCCUUCUCUGUCUCGUUGUAGAGGUAGAACGGGUACUUGAUGCUGAGAUCGCCGCAGACGGAAGGCUCGAGCUGGCACGUUGGGGUGCGGCGGCUGUUGUAAGUGUCGUCGCCAUGGGAAGCGACCGGGGAGAGCACGAGCAGGAUGAUGAGGCAGAGGAGAGUCAUGGCCGGUUUCUGCUCUGUUUUGGCUCGAGGGUUCUGCGCUGCUGGCACGGUUGGUGUGGGGCUUUGGCUGGUUUGGUUGCCUCCCCGUUUAUAUGCCGUGCGCUAAGCACGAGGUACCAAGCGAGGUUUGGGUGAGAGGGUUGGCCGGUUGGGUGGGCACUGCAGGACGUACGGCACAUGACAGUCGAGAGCACUGGCCGACUGGCGACGCGCCAGCUCAAGAUGGUAAGAAUGGCAUGUAAGAUCUAGGCAUGACCGGCCCGGUCCCAAGCCCGGCGUGCUGGCAUGUAAGAUCUAGAUUUUUUUAAGAAUAGAUACGUCUAUUUUUAGUCAAAUUUGAGACAAGAAUUAUGAAACGGAGGGAAUAAUAGAUAGAUCCAAAAAUUCAUUUUUUUUAUCAUAAUUGAUUAUUUUUAAUAGCCAGAUCAGCCUGGGCCUCAGGUCCGGCCCCGACUUGGAGUUUUGCUACCGGGCUUUAUACUCAUUUGCUAAAAAAAAAGAUGUGCAUAUACUAGCCGUCAGCAUAAUUUUUUCUCAUAUCCGACCACCGAUUUAUCCCAAUAAGUUAGCAACAGCAAAUGAGGUGGCUGGUGGCGCCUGGAUCGUGCGAGGCCUAGAAGUGGAUGAAGGCCAUGUAACGGAUACUCGUUGCCAUCUUGACGUUAGUUGUGCCACAGCCCUCUAGGUCGCGUUGAUGCAAAAAAAAAAGAACUUCAUCCAUAUCCUAGCUGUUGCGCUCCACGGUGGCAUACCGGUUGGUGUAGCACCUCAAGAUGACGGAAUAAUUUUUAGGUCCAAAAUUGAUACAUAGUACACAACUUCAGAAAAAAUAUCAAUUCGUCCCUGAAUAGUUCCACCAGGAUACUGUUAGUUCCAUAUUUAAAUUUGGUACUAGUCACAACAUGAUUUCUUUUGUUUUUUAUGUAGUCGUAAAAAAUAGAAUUGAAAUGUCAUGUGGUAGAUUGUGUAUGCUAAUCUAUAUGCAUGCCAUAAGUUAAUUUAAGAUUCUUUUCAUGACUCUAGACAUGAUUCAAAUAUGUUUACCAGGUUUCUUACCGGAAAAUAUGCUCCCAAGUUGGUCACAUUUGUAAUUCCUUGCCAAUAAAACUAGUGAAAAUGCGAACUGAAUUUUUUUUUAAAAAAAAUCAUUCUUUUAAACCGGACAAAAGCUAUGUGCUCUCACAAAAGAAAAAAGAAAAAGGAAAAAAGAAAAAAUUAUAGUGGAGCCUUUACUGCAAGACCGGCUUUGAUCUCUCAGGUUGGAGUAUGUGUUUUCCAAAAAACAACCACACACGAAUUUUGCUGUCGCAUACUCGCAUGUGCGUGGAAUGGUCAAGACGGCGUCCUACUCCUUCUCACGACAUCUGUGGAAAACGUGCGCUCUACUGGUAUUUCAGUAACAUGAAAGCGUUCAGGAAGCAAUCGCGUCCAAAUCGGGGCAAGAAUCGGUCGCGACUACUACAGUUUUUACCUACCAAACCUGAACAAUUUCGUUCGAAAGUUCAGGUUACAGGCUUUGUCAGAGUUAUGCGGGAUUUGACUGGCUUGGCUUACAGCGAUUAGAAAUGUUCAGUCUUCGCACUUGCCCCUCUAGUUGGUGAGAAAUCAUUCGAUGUGCGACAUCAGAAAAGAUGCAAAGUAGCAGCGCGCGGCGGCACAACAGGAUUGCUGUACAACCAUGUUGUAAGGUCCAAGUGAUUUCAAGAAGUAACAAAGUUUGGCAGUCACUUACUACCAACAUUACGACAUAUGUUCGUGGGAAGGAAAGGGCCAGGAGCCCGAGAGGGCUACACGUCAAAUGCAAAAACACGCAACUGUUGGAAGAAAAAGGGAAAAGUUUCAGAUUCAGAGAGCUUACCGGCGCCCUUGACACAAUUAUCGGAGUGCAUUCGCCCGUCAGGGCACAAGCAAUCGAUGAAAUCCAUGCCCUGGCUGUAACCGCACUUUCCA